UGAGGAAUAUUGGACAAUGGGUGGAAGCCUGAUCCAGCCAUCCCGCGUGUAGGAUGACGGCCUUAUGGGUUGUAAACUACUUUUAUCUGGGGAUAAACCUACUUACGUGUAAGUAGCUGAAGGUACCAGAAGAAUAAGCACCGGCUAACUCCGUGCCAGCAGCCGCGGUAAUACGGAGGGUGCAAGCGUUAUCCGGAUUUAUUGGGUUUAAAGGGUCCGUAGGCGGAUUAAUAAGUCAGUGGUGAAAGCCUAUCGCUUAACGAUAGAACUGCCAUUGAUACUGUUAGUCUUGAGUGAUGUUGAAGUGGCUGGAAUGUGUAGUGUAGCGGUGAAAUGCUUAGAUAUUACGCAGAACACCAAUUGCGAAGGCAGGUCACUAAGUAUCAACUGACGCUGAUGGACGAAAGCGUGGGGAGCGAACA
rnacentral:rRNA from 1 species